CUGCAUAAUACCCGAUAUUAUCGUGACAUCUCGAAGAUAAAUUGUUCUCGACGACGACGGCGUAAUAUCGUCGGAUUAGACCCCCCGUGAAAGAAAUUAACGCGCGGUAUUAUUACGUGUUACAUAUUUUCGUAUAGACUCACGAAUUUAAGCUCGCGAAUAUAUUGGUUCAGGUAGGUGUUUAUGCAUUAAAUUAUAUACU